rnacentral:sRNA from 1 species
AAAUAUUGCUGAUGUUAAGAUAAAUGCAAUGCGGUGAAUCCACCUGUGCGGAUGGGCUAAGUCAUAGUUGUCGGAACAUUACCAGUAGCGAGUCAGAAUCUGACUUUUCUGACUCACCGGGAGGCACCCGGCGCCGCAACAAAAUUCAAAUGGAAAAAAAUCCCGCACAUCUC